CAAUUUGCUUCACCGAGCAGAGCAUGGGCUCUCAUCUCACACCAUGGUUAUUAUGCAAUCUCCAUCUAAAAUCUGAACCAGACAAUAGUUCAACGUUUUUUUCUUCUUCAAAUCAAGUAGUGCUAAAAUGAAACUCACAAUGAACGGAAAAGAAAAGAGCACCAGCAACGUUUCAUUACACAUCUUGGUUUUCAUUCCAUUCCUCCUCAAAUAGGUGCACAUAGGUUAGAGGUCAUCUGUCAAAAUAAUCAGUAGUGGAUCUAGAAAGCUAUAGAAGAGAGGGUUUAACUCAUCUCUAACCUUUAGAGCUCUUUCUUCUUGCUCUCUUCCACAUUUAUAAAAAAAAGAUAAGAUAAAGGGGCUCUAUUGUCGCGGAUGCGGUAGAGGGGGACUGAACCCAUCCCGCUACUAGAUCCCAUCUCACUAGUAAAUCCCUGUGGGGCGUAGUGGGGCUCGUCGCCCAGCACCUGUUUGCGGUGGUGGCUUGCUAGCCUAUGGGGCACGACGGCUUGUGAUCGCUCAACUUAGUUUGAUUUAUUACUCAUGUUAUAUGAUUGACCUGACGGCACAUAGGGCCAUGCGGUGGCAAGUCUACGAAAAUCAUCGUUAAACUGUCUAGAGUGGAGUAGCAAAAAAAAAACUGUCUAGAGUAUAAAAAAUAAUUUUAAAAGUUCAGGAGG
rnacentral:lncRNA from 1 species